ACGCUGGCGGCGUGCUUAACACAUGCAAGUCGAACGGAAAGGCCCUGCUUUUGUGGGGUGCUCGAGUGGCGAACGGGUGAGUAACACGUGAGUAACCUGCCCUUGACUUUGGGAUAACUUCAGGAAACUGGGGCUAAUACCGGAUAGGAGCUCCUGCUGCAUGGUGGGGGUUGGAAAGUUUCGGCGGUUGGGGAUGGACUCGCGGCUUAUCAGCUUGUUGGUGGGGUAGUGGCUUACCAAGGCUUUGACGGGUAGCCGGCCUGAGAGGGUGACCGGCCACAUUGGGACUGAGAUACGGCCCAGACUCCUACGGGAGGCAGCAGUGGGGAAUAUUGCACAAUGGGCGGAAGCCUGAUGCAGCAACGCCGCGUGCGGGAUGACGGCCUUCGGGUUGUAAACCGCUUUCGCCUGUGACGAAGCGUGAGUGACGGUAAUGGGUAAAGAAGCACCGGCUAACUACGUGCCAGCAGCCGCGGUGAUACGUAGGGUGCGAGCGUUGUCCGGAUUUAUUGGGCGUAAAGGGCUCGUAGGUGGUUGAUCGCGUCGGAAGUGUAAUCUUGGGGCUUAACCCUGAGCGUGCUUUCGAUACGGGUUGACUUGAGGAAGGUAGGGGAGAAUGGAAUUCCUGGUGGAGCGGUGGAAUGCGCAGAUAUCAGGAGGAACACCAGUGGCGAAGGCGGUUCUCUGGGCCUUUCCUGACGCUGAGGAGCGAAAGCGUGGGGAGCGAACAGGCUUAGAUACCCUGGUAGUCCACGCUGUAAACGGUGGGUACUAGGUGUGGGGUCCAUUCCACGGGUUCCGUGCCGUAGCUAACGCUUUAAGUACCCCGCCUGGGGAGUACGGCCGCAAGGCUGAAGCUCAAAGGAAUUGACGGGGCGCCGCACAAGCGGCGGAGCAUGCGGAUUAAUUCGAUGCAACGCGUAGAACCUUACCUGGGUUUGACAUGGAUCGGGAGUGCUCAGAGAUGGGUGUGCUUCUUUUGGGGUCGGUUCACAGGUGGUGCAUGGCUGUCGUCAGCUCGUGUCGUGAGAUGUUGGGUUAAGUCCCGCAACGAGCGCAACCCUUGUUCACUGUUGCCAGCACGUUAUGGUGGGGACUCAGUGGAGACCGCCGGGGUCAACUCGGAGGAAGGUGGGGAUGACGUCAAGUCAUCAUGCCCCUUAUGUUCAGGGCUUCACGCAUGCUACAAUGGCUGGUACAGAGAGUGGCGAGCCUGUGAGGGUGAGCGAAUCUCGGAAAGCCGGUUUCAGUUCGGAUUGGGGUCUGCAACUCGACCUCAUGAAGUCGGAGUCGUUAGUAAUCGCAGAUCAGCAACGCUGCGGUGAAUACGUUCCCGGGGCUUGUACACACCGCCCGUCAAGUCAUGAAAGUUGGUAACACCCGAAGCCGGUGGCCUAACCGUUGUGGGGGAGCCGUCGAAGGUGGGACUGGUGAUUAGG
rnacentral:rRNA from 1 species